rnacentral:rRNA from 1 species
AUUGAACGCUGGCGGCAGGCCUAACACAUGCACGUCGAACGAGUGGCGGACGGGUGAGUAAUGUCUGGGAAACUGCCCGAUGGAGGGGGAUAACUACUGGAAACGGUAGCUAAUACCGCAUACCAUCGGAUGUGCCCAGAUGGGAUUAGCUAGUAGGUGGGGUAACGGCUCACACAGGCGACGAUCCCUAGCUGGUAUGAGCGGAUGACCAGCCACACUGGAACUGAGACACGGUCCAGACUCCGACGGGAGGCAGCAGUGGGGAGUAUUGCACAAUGGGCGCAAGCCUGAGGCAGCCAUGCCGCGUGUAUGAAGAAGGCCUUCGGGUUGUAAAGUACUUUCAGCGAGGAGGCGUUACUCGCAGAAGAAGCACCGGCUGACUCCGUGCCAGCCGCCGCGGUAACAC